CUGUCGAUGUGUAUUAAUUGUAGUUUUGCAUAUUCUUUCAGGAAGAAGUUCCCUCUAUAUCAUCCUUUCCACAGGAGGCAUCUUCCUCCUCAUCACCUUGGUAACAAUAUGUGCCUGCUGGACGCCUUCCAAAAAGCCAAAACACCCAGCUAGAAAGCCUCUCUCCAGGUUUUAUGAUCACUCUCAUCGCUCACCAAUGAAUCACACUGAUGACGUGCUUCCAAAAGUGACAGACCAUAACGGAGUACAUGCAGUAACUUCACUUUAUGUCCUCCAGCAAAGGGUAUCUAUGUCAUUACCACUA